rnacentral:rRNA from 1 species
AUUGAACGCUGGCGGCAGGCUUAACACAUGCAAGUCGAGCGGGGGAGGUUGCUUCGGUAACUGACCUAGCGGCGGACGGGUGAGUAAUGCUUAGGAAUCUGCCUAUUAGUGGGGGACAACAUUCCGAAAGGGAUGCUAAUACCGCAUACGCCCUACGGGGGAAAGCAGGGGAUCUUCGGACCUUGCGCUAAUAGAUGAGCCUAAGUCGGACUAGCUAGUUGGUGGGGUAAAGGCCUACCAAGGCGACGAUCUGUAGCGGGUCUGAGAGGAUGAUCCGCCACACUGGGACUGAGACACGGCCCAGACUCCUACGGGAGGCAGCAGUGGGGAAUAUUGGACAAUGGGCGGAAGCCUGAUCCAGCCAUGCCGCGUGUGUGAAGAAGGCCUUUUGGUUGUAAAGCACUUUAAGCGAGGAGGAGGCUCUUAAGGUUAAUACCCUUGAUGAGUGGACGUUACUCGCAGAAUAAGCACCGGCUAACUCUGUGCCAGCAGCCGCCGUAAAAC